AUUAGUUUUUGAAGUUUGAAAUGUUCAAUUUUCUGUUUUUGCACUUGUUGAAGUAGUAAAAUAGUUUUGUAUUAAUAAAAGUGAGGUAGUGCAGAAUACUUAAGAGUAUAUGGUACUUGUUUGGUUGUUUAUUUACUGCUUCAAGACUCUUUGAGUACAAUACUCAAAAGUCAAAUUGUUUGGUAAGAAAAUGUAGACUUUUGGACAGUGUUUGAAUAAAAGUCUGUCUUUGAAUAGUGGAGAACGAAUUUUGUUUGAAAUACUUGACAAGAUUUGAACCAGAAAGUCUGGCCUUUUGAAUUUAAGAGCAGAUUUUGUAGAAGAUCUGUCAAAAAGAUUGAUUUUUAAUUUUUUAAAAUAGCUGGUUGUUUUGAUAUAUAAGGGGGACUCAAUCACACUUCCAGGGAGAGGGAAUAAUUGCUUUGAACACACAAAAACAUAAAAAUAAAAAAAAUCAGCAGUUGAACACAUGAAAAGUGAGCUGAAAUGGUGAGUUUUGGGAGUGAAUCUUAGAGUGCAAACUUUUAGAAAAGUAAUCCUUUAAGACUCGUAACGUACGUAUUUUCAGCAAUGGGAACAACUUGAACAUACUGCACCAUUUAAAUGUGUUUGAUAUGAUGAAUAAUUUGACAACAAAAGAGCUUGUAUGUUAUUGUUAUGUAUCAAGCAUGUGAUAAUGUGAAUAUAGUCCUUCAUAAUACUUGAAUAUUGAAUUGCAAGUUUUUUGAA